rnacentral:rRNA from 1 species
GAUGAACGCUGGCGGCGUGCCUAAUACAUGCAAGUCGAGCGAACAGACGAGGAGCUUGCUCCUUUGACGUUAGCGGCGGACGGGUGAGUAACACGUAGGUAACCUACCUAUAAGACUGGGAUAACUUCGGGAAACCGGAGCUAACACCGGAUAAUAUUUCGAACCGCAUGGUUCGAUAGUGAAAGAUGGCUUUUCUAUCACUACUAGAUGGACCUGCGCCGUAUUAGCUGGUUGGUAAGGUAACGGCUUACCAAGGCAACGAUUCGUAGACGACCUGUGAGGGUGGUCGGCGACACUGGAGGUGAGACGCGGUCCAGACUCCUACGGGAGGCAGCAGUAGGGAAUCUUCCGCAAUGGGCGAAAGCCUGACGGAGCAAGGCCGAGUGAGUGAUGAAGGUCUUCGGAUCGGAAAGCUCUGUUAUUAGGGAAGAACAAACGUGUAAGGAACUGUGCACGUCUUGACGGUACCUAAUCAGAAAGCCACGGCUAACUACGUG